AUGUAUUACUAAGACCACAUUUUUUUACUUUUGUGUGCAACAUGAGAAGCGUAGACGCCUAUCUCCUGUCCAGGCGCAAGGCAUUGAUUCGAGUAAGAUGCAGCUCCCUUGUGCUAACUGAAAGGCUAUACUCAAUGUCCCUCAUGGCCUCUCUCGCUUCAAAUGUCCUCAAUGCGACAUCGAUCUUACUAUCGAUGUCAUGAAAAUGAAGCAGCUUCUUCCUCCUCCCGUCGAAGAAUUCAAUGAGGAGAUAUGAACUGUCUAAGAGCGGCGAUGACGACAUACUGCGUGGGAGCCGGAGAAGCUUGAAGUGAGUGGGCGAACUCGUACAAUGAUUGCUUCAAAGGUAAACAAAAGGAGGUGAAGGCUGAGAAUUUCAACGACAAUUCUGAAAUUUUUGCUUUAGAAUUUCGAACUUGAUGAAAGAAAUUGCUGGUUUUUUUAUUUGUAACUCCUGAACUAUAGACUAUAAUGAGGAAGAUUAAGAAUAUUGAUAAGAUUGAUGGCGGGGUGAUUUUCAUUGAUCUAUACCUCAAAUAUUGAUAAGAAUAUUGAUAAGCAUGUGAAAGUUUCAGCGUUCCUGCCA